rnacentral:tRNA from 1 species
GGGAAUGUAGUUAUUAAUAACAUUUAAUUUGCAAUUAAAAAGAACUAAAUUUAAGUCUUUCUCA